UCCUUGAUGGUCCAGUGGUUAGGACUUGGCACUAUCACUGACACAGCCCAUGGCCCGGGUUCAAUCCCUGGUCGGGGAA